AUACGGAGGGUGCAAGCGUUGUCCGGAUUUAUUGGGUUUAAAGGGUGCGUAGGCGGAUCAUUAAGUCAGUGGUGAAAUCCUGCAGCUUCACUGUAGAACUGCCAUUGAUACUGGAGAUAUUGAGUAUACUAGAGGUAGGCGGAAUUUAUGGUGUAGCGGUGAAAUGCAUAGAUACCACAAAGAACACCAAUAGCGUAGGCAGCUUACUGGAGUAUAACUGACGCUGAGGCACGAAAGUGUGGGUAGCGAACAGGAUUAGAUACCCUAGUAGUCC
rnacentral:rRNA from 1 species